rnacentral:lncRNA from 1 species
CACGCUAUGCUGAUGGUGGUGGUGCUGCUGCUGAGUUUGCCCCUCCUCUUCUCGUAAGAGUCGUUCUUGUUUUUUUGCUGAUAGAUAGAAGCACUAGAUUGUGCCUUUAUUAGUUGCACAUUUAUAUUUAGCAUGCAGAUGCACUUUGGACUAACCUCAAACUUCACUUCACCUUUUUCAGCUCAGCAUUAUAAAGAAGGCCUUGAACACAUGUCCUGAAGGUUUGACAAGAUCUUGAAGGUGUUGGAGGUUCGGCAAGAUCUGCAAGGCGUCCAUACUUAAUUUUUCUGCUCAUUUUGGUGGUUAUUUUAGCACAUAAGCCGAUGUAUGCUCAUUUUGGCUGCGUAGCACAUCUAGAAACAUGUCUUUUUUUCCUUUUGUGGCACAACAUCCUUAAUGUAUCAAGAAACAUGUAUUUGGUCGCUUAUCAAAUGAAGCUUAAGGUUUUGGAUGUGGCUUAUAUGUAACUUUGAUUGAGAUGUAUGUAUGAGCUGUGAGAUCUGGCAUGAUUGUCCGAACAUACUGAA